rnacentral:tRNA from 1 species
GGAAUAUUAAGACCAAAAAUAAAACUUCUAAUUUUACUUUAAGCGGUUCGAUUCCGUUUAUAUUCCU